rnacentral:misc_RNA from 1 species
GAUGAAGAACGUAGCGAAAUGCGAUAAGUAGUGUGAAUUGCAGAAUUCAGUGAAUCAUCGAAUCUUUGAACGCACAUUGCGCCCCUUGGUAUUCCACGGGGCAUGCCUGUUCGAGCGUCAUUUGUACCUUCAAGCUCUGCUUGGUGUUGGGUGUUUGUCUCGCCUCUGCGUGUAGACUCGCCUCAAAACAAUUGGCAGCCGGCGUAUUGAUUUCGGAGCGCAGUACAUCUCGCGCUUUGCACUCAUAACGACGACGUCCAAAAGUACAUUUUUACACUCUUGACCUCGGAUCAGGUAGGGAUACCCGCUGAACUUAAGCAUAUCAAAAGCGGAGGA